CUUAAUGAGAGUUUGAUCCUGGCUCAGGGUGAACGCUGGCGGCGUGUUUAAGGCAUGCAAGUCGAACGGUUCGUACCGCAAGGUACGGACAGUGGCAAACGGGUGAGUAACACAUUGGUAACCUACCCUUCACAGGAGAAUAACCCCGCGAAAGUGGGGCUAAUACUCCGUACGUUCUGGUAGCGUCUGCUAUCAGAAGAAAGUUUUUCGGUGAAGGAGGGGCCUAUGUCCCAUCAGCUUGUUGGUAAGGUAACGGCUUACCAAGGCUAUGACGGGUAGCGGGUGUGAGAGCACGACCCGCCUCACUGGGACUGAGAUACUGCCCAGACACCUACGGGUGGCUGCAGUCGAGAAUCUUCCCCAAUGGACGAAAGUCUGAGGGAGCGACGCCGCGUGACCGAAGAAGCCCUUCGGGGUGUAAAAGUCUUUUCUCAGGGAAAAACCAGCGAUGGUACCUGAGGAAUAAGAGGCUGCAAACUUCGUGCCAGCAGCAGCGGUAAUACGAAGGCCUCAAGCGUUACCCGGAUUUAUUGGGCGUAAAGCGUUCAAAGGUGGCUUUGUAAGUCGAACGUUAAAUCCUCAUGCUCAACAUGAGGGCCGCGUUCGAAACUGCAAGGCUCGAGGAUGGGAGAGGCAGAUGGAAUUGCCGGUGUAGCAGUAAAAUGCGUUAAUAUCGGCAGGAACACCAAAGGCGAAGGCAUUCUGCUGGAACAAUCCUGACACUGAAAGAACGAAAGCGUGGGGAGCGAAUAGGAUUAGAUACCCUAGUAGUCCACGCCGUAAACGAUGAGUGCUAGGCAUUGGUAGUUUCGACCCUAUCAGUGCCGUUUACUCAAGCUAACGCUUUAAGCACUCCGCCUGGGGAGUACGGCCGCAAGGCUAAAACUCAAAGGAAUUGACGGGAGCCCGCACAAGCGGUGGAGCAUGUGGUUUAAUUCGAUGGUAAGCGAGGAACCUUACCUGGAUUCUUCCUAUGGAAGCUCUCAGAAAUGAGGGUGUGCCGCAAGGAACCAUAGGCAGGGUGAUGCACGGCUGUCGUCAGCUCGUGUCGUGAGAUGUACCGUUAAGUCGGAAAACGAGCGCAACCCCCGUGGUAUGUUGUAUAUUCAUACCAGACUGCCCUCUUUAAGAGGGAGGAAGGAGGGGAUGACGUCAAGUCAGCGUGUCCCUUACGUCCAGGGCUACACACGUGCUACAAUGGCGAGUCACAGCGGGUCGCAAAGCGGCAACGCUUAGCAAAUCCAUAAAACUCGCCCCAGUUCGGAUUGAGGUCUGCAACUCGACCUCAUGAAGUUGGAAUCGCUAGUAACCGCGUAUCAGCCAUGGCGCGGUGAAUACGUUCUCGGGCUUUGUACACGGGACGCCUGGCAGUUUUUAUCAACCAGUCAGUGGAAGUCUGACAAGGUGGCAGUAGACUACCUUAAGUGAAAUCGCAGGUGCAUAUCGCGAGGUAUGCACUGAAGGGCGAAAGU
rnacentral:rRNA from 1 species